UCGAGAAUAGUCUACAAUGGACGGAAGUCUGAUAGUGCGACGCCGCGUGAACGAAGAAUCCCUUCGGGGUGUAAAGUUCUUUUAUACGUGAGCAGUGCCCUUUAUAUGAAUAGUAUAGAGGGAGGGAUUUAAGCGUAUGAAUAAGCAACGGCUAACUCCGUGCCAGCAGCCGCGGUAACACGGGGGUUGCAAGCGUUGUCCGGAAUUACUAGGCGUAAAGUGCAGGUAGGCGGAUAGAUAAGUUUAAGGUUAAAGGCUACGGCUUACCCGUAGUAAGGCGUUAGAUACUGUUUAUCUGGAAUGCGGUUGAGGGAGACAGAAUUCCUGGUGUAGCGGUGGAAUGCGCAGAGAUCAGGAGGAAUACCGAAGGCGAAGGCAGUCUUCUAAGCCGAUAUUGAC
rnacentral:rRNA from 1 species